rnacentral:rRNA from 1 species
UACGUAGGGUGCAAGCAUUAUCCGGAGUGACUGGGCGUAAAGAGUUGCGUAGGUGGUUUGUUAAGUGAAUAGUGAAAUCCGACGGCUCAACCGUACGGACUAUUAUUCAAACUGGCAAACUCGAGAAUGGUAGAGGUAACUGGAAUUUCUAGUGUAGGAGUGAAAUCCGUAGAUAUUAGAAGGAACACCAAUGGCGUAGGCAGGUUACUGGACCAUUUCUGACACUGAGGCACGAAAGCGUGGGGAGCGAACCGG